GAUGAACGCUAGCGGCAGGCUUAACACAUGCAAGUCGAGGGGCAGCGGGUUUGUAGCAAUACAGAUGCCGGCGACCGGCGCAAGGGUGCGUAACGCGUGAGCGACAUGCCCGUCUCAGGGGGAUAAUCCGGAGAAAUCCGGUCUAAUACCCCAUGGUCCCGUUGGGAUGCAUGUCCUGAUGGGUAAAGAACUCGAGACGAUGGGAUGACUCGCGUGACAUUAGCUGGACGGCGGGGUAACGGCCCACCGUGGCUACGAUGUCUAGGGGAACUGAAGAAGUUGGUCCCCCACACUGGAACUGAGACACGGUCCAGACUCCUACGGGAGGCAGCAGUGAGGAAUAUUGGACAAUGGGCGGAAGCCUGAUCCAGCCAUGCCGCGUGAAGGAUUACGGUCCUAUGGAUUUUAAACUUCUUUUGCACGGGAGCAAUAAGGGUCACGGGUGGCCCGAUGAGAGUACCGUGCGAAUAAGCAUCGGCUAACUCCGUGCCAGCAGCCGCGGUAAUACGGAGGAUGCGAGCGUUAUCCGGAUUCAUUGGGUUUAAAGGGUGCGUAGGCGGUGGCGUAAGUCAGCGGUGAAAUUCACGGGCUCAACCCGUGCCGUGCCGUUGAUACUGCGUUGCUGGAGUACUGUCGCCGUGGGAGGAAUGUGUGGUGUAGCGGUGAAAUGCAUAGAUAUCACACAGAACACCGAUUGCGAAGGCAUCUCACGAGGCAGGGACUGACGCUGAUGCACGAAAGUGCGGGGAUCAAACAGGAUUAGAUACCCUGGUAGUCCGCACAGUAAACGAUGAUGACUAGCUGUCGGCGAUAGACAGUCGGUGGCUAAGCGAAAGCGAUAAGUCAUCCACCUGGGGAGUACGACCGCAAGGUUGAAACUCAAAGGAAUUGACGGGGGCCCGCACAAGCGGAGGAACAUGUGGUUUAAUUCGAUGAUACGCGAGGAACCUUACCCGGGCUCGAACGGUGCAGGAAGCCUUCAGAGAUGGAGGCGCUCUUCGGAGCCUGUAUCGAGGUGCUGCAUGGUUGUCGUCAGCUCGUGCCGUGAGGUGUCGGCUUAGUGCCAUAACGAGCGCAACCCUUGCUGACAGUUGCCAUCAGGUAAAGCUGGGGACUCUGUCGGGACUGCCACCGUAAGGUGUGAGGAAGGGGGGGAUGACGUCAAAUCAGCACGGCCCUUAUGUCCGGGGCGACACACGUGUUACAAUGGUGGGUACAGCGGGAAGCUACGCGGCGACGCGGUGCAAAUCUCGAAAACCCAUCCCAGUUCGGAUCGGAGUCUGCAACCCGACUCCGUGAAGUUGGAUUCGCUAGUAAUCGCGCAUCAGCCAUGGCGCGGUGAAUACGUUCCCGGGCCUUGUACACACCGCCCGUCAAGCCAUGGAAGCCGGGGGUGCCUGAAGUCCGUUACCGCAAGGAUCGGCCUAGGGCAAAACUGGUAACUGGGGCUA
rnacentral:rRNA from 1 species